rnacentral:rRNA from 1 species
GAAUUCGCCCUUAGAGUUUGAUCCUGGCUCAGGAUAAACGCUGGCGGCGCACAUAAGACAUGCAAGUCGAACGGACUUAACUGAAAUGUUUACAUUUUAGAGCGGUUAGUGGCGGACUGGUGAGUAACACGUAAGCAACCUGCCUAUUAGAGGGGAAUAACAGUGAGAAAUCAUUGCUAAUACCGCAUAUACUAUUUACAUUGCAUGAUGUAAAUAGGAAAGGAGCAAUCCGCUGAUAGAUGGGCUUGCGUCUGAUUAGAUAGUUGGUGGGGUAAUGGCCUACCAAGUCGACGAUCAGUAGCCGGACUGAGAGGUUGAACGGCCACAUUGGGGCUGAGAUACGGCCCAGACUCCUACGGGAGGCAGCAGUCGGGAAUAUUGCACAAUGGAGGAAACUCUGAUGCAGUGACGCCGCGUGCAGGAAGAAGGUUUUCGGAUUGUAAACUGCUUUAGACAGGGAAGAAACAAGACAGUACCUGUAGAAUAAGCUCCGGCUAACUACGUGCCAGCAGCCGCGGUAAUACGUAGGGAGCAAGCGUUAUCCGGAUUUAUUGGGUGCAAAGGGUGCGUAGACGGGCAAACAAGUUAGUUGUGAAAUCCCUCGGCUUAACUGAGGAACUGCAACUAAAACUAUUAGUCUUGAGUGCGGGAGAGGAAAGUGGAAUUCCUAGUGUAGCGGUGAAAUGCGUAGAUAUUAGGAGGAACACCAGUGGCGAAGGCGACUUUCUGGACCGUAACUGACGUUGAGGCACGAAAGUGUGGGGAGCAAACAGGAUUAGAUACCCUGGUAGUCCACACUGUAAACGAUGGAUACUAGGUGUAGGGAAUAUUAAGUUUUCUGUGCCGUCGCAAACGCAGUAAGUAUCCCACCUGGGGAGUACGACCGCAAGGUUGAAACUCAAAGGAAUUGACGGGGGCCCGCACAAGCAGUGGAGUAUGUGGUUUAAUUCGAAGCAACGCGAAGAACCUUACCAGGGCUUGACAUAUGCAGGAAUAUACUAGAGAUAGUAUAGCUCUUCGGAGUCUGCAAACAGGUGGUGCAUGGUUGUCGUCAGCUCGUGUCGUGAGAUGUUGGGUUAAGUCCCGCAACGAGCGCAACCCCUAUUGUUAGUUGCUACGCAAGAGCACUCUAGCGAGACUGCCGUUGACAAAACGGAGGAAGGUGGGGACGACGUCAAAUCAUCAUGCCCCUUAUGUCCUGGGCUACACACGUAAUACAAUGGCGGUCAACAGAGGGAUGCAAAGCCGCGAGGCAGAGCGAACCCCAAAAAGCCGUCCCAGUUCGGAUCGCAGGCUGCAACCCGCCUGCGUGAAGUCGGAAUCGCUAGUAAUCGCGGAUCAGCAUGCCGCGGUGAAUACAAUCCCGGGCCUUGCACACACCGCCCGUCA